AGAACCCCGAAACUGAUGCAAUUGUUGCCACUGCUUCCGCCGAGCUUAGGAGAAUAGAAGAGGAGCAGGAGGCAUCACCAUUGCCACAAUGGUUAAAGGUCGCCAAGGAGAACGUGUAAGACUCUACGUCAGGGGUUCAAUUCUUGGAUACAAGAGGUCCAAGUCAAAUCAAUACCCAAGCACCUCCCUAAUCCAGAUUGAGAAUGUAAACUCUAAGGAAGAAGUUGCGUGGUACUGUGGGAAGCGCAUGGCUUACAUCUACAAAGCGAAGGUAAAGAAGAACGGAAGCCACUAUCGCUGCAUUUGGGGUAAGGUCACCAGGCCUCAUGGUAACAGUGGUAUAGUUCGAGCUAAGUUCAAGUCCAAUCUGCCACCUAGGUCAAUGGGUGCAAGGGUUAGAGUAUUCAUGUAUCCAAGCAAUAUAUGAGAUAUUAAGUGUAAAACCUUUCUGCUUGAGCCUACUCCUUUAUCCGUGGAGAUAUGCUCCAAUGUAAUUGGCUUACAGAUCCAUCCAUUUGUGAAAAGUUGAUUGUUAUUGUGUUGUGAUUUUGCUGUUUUUGCACAUAGUAAGAUUCUCAGGAUUCGUGUGUCGUGGGGCUAGUUUGUCAGAGUAUUUGAAAGGAAUUUGCAUUUUGCGAGUUAAAUGUGUGUUUUUCUUUUUUGGUAGCUCUUGAGCAGAAUAGUAUCUUUGUUUAGGAUGGAGAAUGAACCCCGUGUUUUUCUUUAUUCUCACUGCCAUGGUUAUUAAGGAGGAUUGAGUCUCAAUUUUAUAAACGGAUUUUUCUCCUCACUUGUUGCA